AGAGUUUGAUCCUGGCUCAGAUUAAACGCUGGCGGCAUGCCUUACACAUGCAAGUCGAACGGCAGCACGGGGGCAACCCUGGUGGCGAGUGGCGAACGGGUGAGUAAAGCAUCGGAACGUGCCCUGGAGUGGGGGAUAACGUAGCGAAAGUUACGCUAAUACCGCAUAUUCUGUGAGCAGGAAAGCAGGGGAUCGCAAGACCUUGCGCUCUGGGAGCGGCCGAUGUCGGAUUAGCUAGUUGGUGGGGUAAAGGCCUACCAAGGCGACGAUCCGUAGCGGGUCUGAGAGGAUGAUCCGCCACACUGGGACUGAGACACGGCCCAGACUCCUACGGGAGGCAGCAGUGGGGAAUUUUGGACAAUGGGCGAAAGCCUGAUCCAGCCAUGCCGCGUGAGUGAAGAAGGCCUUCGGGUUGUAAAGCUCUUUCGGUGGGGAAGAAAUUGCACGGGUUAAUAGCCUGUGUAGAUGACGGUACCUGGAGAAUAAGCACCGGCUAACUUCGUG
rnacentral:rRNA from 1 species